GACGAACGCUGGCGGCAGGCCUAACACAUGCAAGUCGAGCGAGCGGCGGACGGGUGAGUAAUGCCUAGGAAUCUGCCUGGUAGUGGGGGAUAACGUCCGGAAACGGGCGCUAAUACCGCAUACCAUCGGAUGUGCCCAGAUGGGAUUAGCUAGUAGGUGGGGUAACGGCUCACCUAGGCGACGAUCCCUAGCUGGUCUGAGAGGAUGACCAGCCACACUGGAACUGAGACACGGCCCAGACUCCUACGGGAGGCAGCAGUGGGGAAUAUUGCACAAUGGGCGCAAGCCUGAUGCAGCCAUGCCGCGUGUAUGAAGAAGGCCUUAGGGUUGUAAAGUACUUUAAGCGGGGAGGCGUUACCCGCAGAAGAAGCACCGGCUAACUCCGUGCCAGCAGCCGCGGUAAUAC
rnacentral:rRNA from 1 species